UACGAAGGGGGCUAGCGUUGCUCGGAAUCACUGGGCGUAAAGGGUGCGUAGGCGGGUUUUUAAGUCAGGGGUGAAAUCCUGGAGCUCAACUCCAGAACUGCCUUUGAUACUGAAGAUCUUGAGUUCGGGAGAGGUGAGUGGAACUGCGAGUGUAGAGGUGAAAUUCGUAGAUAUUCGCAAGAACACCAGUGGCGAAGGCGGCUCACUGGCCCGAUACUGACGCUGAGACGCGAAAGCGUGGGGAGCGAACAGG
rnacentral:rRNA from 1 species